GACGAACGCUGGCGGCGUGCUUAACACAUGCAAGUCGAACGGUAAGGCCCUUCGGGGUACACGAGUGGCGAACGGGUGAGUAACACGUGGGUAAUCUGCCCUGCACAUCGGGAUAAGCCUGGGAAACUGGGUCUAAUACCGAAUAGGACCACAGGACACAUGUCCUGUGGUGGAAAGCUUUUGCGGUGUGGGAUGGGCCCGCGGCCUAUCAGCUUGUUGGUGGGGUGAUGGCCUACCAAGGCGACGACGGGUAGCCGGCCUGAGAGGGUGUCCGGCCACACUGGGACUGAGAUACGGCCCAGACUCCUACGGGAGGCAGCAGUGGGGAAUAUUGCACAAUGGGCGACAGCCUGAUGCAGCGACGCCGCGUGGGGGAUGACGGCCUUCGGGUUGUAAACCUCUUUCACCAUCGACGAAGGUCCGGGUUUUCUCGGGCUGACGGUAGGUGGAGAAGAAGCACCGGCCAACUACGUG
rnacentral:rRNA from 1 species